CCCUUAGAUGUUCUGGGCCGCACGCGCGCUACACUGAUUCAUGCAACAAGUUUUGUCCUUGGCUGAUAGGCCUGGGUAAUCUUUGAACGUGAAUCGUGAUGGGGAUAGAUGAUUGCAAUUAUUCAUCUUCAACGAGGAAUUCCUAGUAAACGCAAGUCAUCAGCUUGCAUUGAUUACGUCCCUGCCCUUUGUACACACCGCCCGUCGCACCUACCGAUUGAAUGGUCCGGUGAAAUCUUCGGAUCUGAGAGAUGUCUGAUUAAUUUCGGACGCCUUUUGGAAAAGUUGUUUAAACCUUACCAUUUAGAGGAAGGUGAANUCGUAACA
rnacentral:rRNA from 1 species